UUGUCCUGUGACUGCGUACCUUUUGUAUAAUGGGUCAGCGACUUAUAUUCAGUGGCAAGGUUAACCAUCUAGGGGAGCCGUAGGGAAACCGAGUCUUAACUGGGCGUUCAGUCUCUGGAUAUAGACCCGAAACCAGGUGAUCUAGCCAUGGGCAGGUUGAAGGUUGAGUAACAUCAACUGGAGGACCGAACCGACUAAUGUUGAAAAAUUAGCGGAUGACUUGUGGCUAGGGGUGAAAGGCCAAUCAAACCUGGAGAUAGCUGGUUCUCCCCGAAAGCUAUUUAGGUAGCGCCUCGGACGAAUACUACUGGGGGUAGAGCACUGUUAAGGCUAGGGGGUCAUCCCGACUUACCAACCCUUUGCAAACUCCGAAUACCAGUAAGUACUAUCCGGGAGAC
rnacentral:rRNA from 1 species